CCUUGUGUUUAAUACACUCCUUCACUGUUACCUUGCGUUUAAUACACUCCUUCACUGUUACCUUGUGUUUAAUACACUCCUUCACUGUUACCUUGUGUUUAAUACACUCCUUCACUGUUACCUUGUGUUUAAUACACUCCUUCACUGUUACCUUGCGUUUAAUACACUCCUUCACUGUUACCUUGCGUUUAAUACACUCCUUCUUCACUGUUACCUUGCGUUUAAUACACUCCUUCUUCACUGUUACCUUGCGUUUAAUACACUCCUUCUUCACUGUUACCUUGCGUUUAAUACACUCCUUCUUCACUGUUACCUUGCGUUUAAUACACUCCUUCACUGUUACCUUGCGUUUAAUACACUCCUUCUUCACUGUUACCUUGCGUUUAAUACACUCCUGCAAAUAAACUCACUAGUUCCUCUAUCAAAAUGUACUGAUGAAAAUAGCUGGUGCUGGUGUAACUGAGUCAGGUUUGUAGGCCUCCUUGUACGCACACGCUUAUUCAGUUCUGCCCACAGAUUUUCUAUAUCAUUGAGGUCAGGGCUUUGUGAUGGCCACUCCAAUACCUUGACUUUGUUGUCCUUAAACUAUUUUGCCACAACUUUGGAAGUAUGCUUGGGGUUAUUGUCCAUUUGGAAGACCUUUUUGCGAACAAGCUUUAACUUCCCGACUGAUGUCUUUCUUCAAUAUAUACACAUAAUUUUCCUGCCUCAUGAUGCCAUCUAUUUUGUGAAGUGCAGCAGUUACUCCUGCAGGAAAGCACCCCCACAACAUGAUGCUGCCACCACCGUGCUUCACGGUUGGGAUGGUGUUCUUUGGCUUGCAAGCCUCCCCCCUUUUCCUCCAAACAUAAUGAUGGUCAUUAUGGCCAAACAGUUCUAUUUCUGGUUCAUCAGGCCAGAGGACAUUUCGCCAAAAAGCACAACCUUUGUUCCAAUGUACAGUUGCAAACCGUAGUCUGGCUUUUUUUAUGGCGGUUUUGGAGCAGUGGCUUCUUCCUUACUGAGCGGCCUUUCAGGUUGUGUUGAUAUAGGACUCGUUUUACUGUGGAUAUAGAUACUUUUGUACCUGUUUCCUCCAGCAUCUUCACAAGGUCCUUUGCUGUUGUUCUGGGAUUUAUUUGCACUUUUCGCACCAAAGUAUGUUAAUCUCUAGGAGACCGAACGCGUCUCCUUCCUGAGUGGUAUGACACUGCGUGGUCCCAUGGUGUUUAUACUUACUAUUGUUUGUACAGAUGAACAUUUUCUGGAAUUUUCCAAGCUGUUUAAAGGCACAGUCAACUUAGUGUAUGUAAAGUUUUGACCCACUGGAAUUGUGAUACAGUGAAUUGUAUGUGAAAUAAUCUGUCUGUGAACAAUUGUUGGAAAAAUUACUUGUGUCAUGCACAAAGUAGAUGUCCCAACCAACGUGCAAAAACUAUAGUUUGUUCACAAGAAAUUUGUGGAGUGCUUGAAAAAUGAGUUUUAAUGACUCCAACCUAAGUGUAUGUACACUUCUGACUUCAACUGUAUAUCCUAGUUGUCUGAUUGGUUUACAUGCUGUGCAUGCUCUGUUUUUGACAGCUCCUCUGUCAGUCCCUGCAGAGCCUCUCUCCCAGUGACUGUUGGGUAGGAAAUGGUAAACUGGUUUCUAGGUACAUCAAUUCCCACUAAUAACAAGUGUCAGUGUCAUUUGAAAACACAUUGAUUUUGUGAACACAUUGAUUUUGUGAGAGAGAGAGAGAGAGAGAGAGAGAGAGAGCAGCCUAGGGAAGAGGUGUAUAUAUAUAUAGAGAGAGAGAACAGCCUAGGGAAGAGGUGUAUAUAUAUAGAGAGAGAGAGAACAGCCUAGGGAAGAGGUGUAUAUAUAGAGAGAGAGAGAGAACAGCCUAGGGAAGAGGUAUAGAGAGAGAGCACAGCCUAGGGAAGAGGUGUAUAUAUAUAGAGAGAGAGAGCACAGCCUAGGGAAGAGGUAUAGAGAGAGAGCACAGCCUAGGGAAGAGGUAUAGAGAGAGAGCACAGCCUAGGGAAGAGGUGUAUAUAUAUAUAGAGAGAGAGCACAGCCUAGGGAAGAGGUAUAGAGAGAGAGCACAGCCUAGGGAAGAGGUGUAUAUAUAUAGAGAGAGAGAGCACAGCCUAGGGAAGAGGUAUAGAGAGAGAGCACAGCCUAGGGAAGAGGUGUAUAUAUAUAGAGAGAGAGAGAGCACAGCCUAGGGAAGAGGUAUAGAGAGAGAGCACAGCCUAGGGAAGAGGUAUAGAGAGAGAGAGAGAGAGAGAACAGCCUAGGGAAGAGGUAUAGAGAGAGAGAGAGAGAGAGAACAGCCUAGGGAAGAGGUAUAGAGAGAGAGAGAGAGAGAGAGAACAGCCUAGGGAAGAGGUAUAGAGAGAGAGCACAGCCUAGGGAAGAGGUAUAGAGAGAGAGCACAGCCUAGGGAAGAGGUAUAGAGAGAGAGCACAGCCUAGGGAAGAGGUAUAGAGAGAGAGCACAGCCUAGGGAAGAGGUAUAGAGAGAGAGCACAGCCUAGGGAAGAGGUAUAGAGAGAGAGCACAGCCUAGGGAAGAGGUAGAGAGAGAGAGCACAGCCUAGGGAAGAGGUAGAGAGAGAGAGCACAGCCUAGGGAAGAGGUAGAGAGAGAGAGCACAGACUAGGGAAGAGGUAGAGAGAGAGAGCACAGCCUAGGGAAGAGGUAUAGAGAGAGAGCACAGCCUAGGGAAGAGGUAUAGAGAGAGAGCACAGCCUAGGGAAGAGGUAUAGAGAGAGAGCACAGCCUAGGGAAGAGGUGUAUAUAUAUAGAGAGAGAGAGCACAGCCUAGGGAAGAGGUAUAGAGAGAGAGCACAGCCUAGGGAAGAGGUGUAUAUAUAUAUAGAGAGAGAGCACAGCCUAGGGAAGAGGUAUAGAGAGAGAGCACAGCCUAGGGAAGAGGUGUAUAUAUAUAUAGAGAGAGAGCACAGCCUAGGGAAGAGGUAUAGAGAGAGAGCACAGCCUAGGGAAGAGGUAUAGAGAGAGAGCACAGCCUAGGGAAGAGGUGUAUAUAUAUAGAGAGAGAGAGCACAGCCUAGGGAAGAGGUAUAGAGAGAGAGCACAGCCUAGGGAAGAGGUAUAGAGAGAGAGCACAGCCUAGGGAAGAGGUGUAUAUAUAUAGAGAGAGAGAGCACAGCCUAGGGAAGAGGUAUAGAGAGAGAGCACAGCCUAGGGAAGAGGUGUAUAUAUAUAGAGAGAGAGAGCACAGCCUAGGGAAGAGGUAUAGAGAGAGAGCACAGCCUAGGGAAGAGGUAUAGAGAGAGAGAGAGAGAGAGCACAGCCUAGGGAAGAGGUAUAGAGAGAGAGAGAGAGAGAGCACAGCCUAGGGAAGAGGUAUAGAGAGAGAGAGAGAGCACAGCCUAGGGAAGAGGUAUAGAGAGAGAGCACAGCCUAGGGAAGAGGUAUAGAGAGAGAGCACAGCCUAGGGAAGAGGUAUAGAGAGAGAGCACAGCCUAGGGAAGAGGUGUAUAUAUAUAGAGAGAGAGAGCACAGCCUAGGGAAGAGGUAUAGAGAGAGAGCACAGCCUAGGGAAGAGGUGUAUAUAUAUAGAGAGAGAGAGCACAGCCUAGGGAAGAGGUAUAGAGAGAGAGCACAGCCUAGGGAAGAGGUAUAGAGAGAGAGAGA